CACGUAGGGGCCAAGCGUUGUCCGGAUUUAUUGGGCGUAAAGAGCUCGUAGGCGGUUCGACAAGUCGGGUGUGAAAACUCCGGGCUCAACCCGGAGACGCCACCCGAUACUGUCGUGACUGGAGUCCGGUAGGGGAGUGGGGAAUUCCUGGUGUAGCGGUGAAGUGCGCAGAUAUCGGGAGGAACACCAAUGGCGAAGGCAGCUCGCUGGGACGGUACUGACGCUGAGACGCGAAAGCGUGGGGAGCGAACAGG
rnacentral:rRNA from 1 species